rnacentral:rRNA from 1 species
UACGUAGGAGGCUAACGUUAUUCGGAUUUACUGGGCGUAAAGCGCGUGCAGGCGGUUCGGUAAGUUGGACGUGAAAGCUCCCGGCUCAACUGGGAGAGGUCGUUCAAUACUGCCGGGCUAGAGGAUGGUAGAGGGAGGUGGAAUUCCGGGUGUAGUGGUGAAAUGCGCAGAUAUCCGGAGGAACACCAGUGGCGAAGGCGACCUCCUGGGCCAUUCCUGACGCUCAGACGCGAAAGCUAGGGUAGCGAACGGGAUUAGAGACCCCGGUAGUCCUAGCCGUAAACGAUGUGAACUUGGCGUCGGUGGGAUUAAAUCCAUCGGUGUCGAAGCUAACGCGAUAAGUUCACCGCCUGAGGACUACGGCCGCAAGGUUAAAACUCAAAGGAAUUGACGGGGACCCGCACAAGCAGCGGAGCGUGUGGUUUAAUUCGUUGCUACGCGAAGAACCUUACCUGGGUUUGACAUAUAGGUUGUAGGGAACUGAAAAGGGACCGACCCUUCGGGGAGCCUAUACAGGUGUUGCAUGGCU